AAUGCAAUGCAAUGGACAUGUGUUUCGUUGUGGUUCUCAUCAAGAUAAUAGAAGAAUCUAGUGCUCAUACUCAUGAUCUAAUGAGCAAACAGCCCAUGCAAAGGAUGUCUUAUCGGGCUAUGCCUCAAUUGAUAAAGUGAACUAAUUGCCUACUUCAAAAGCAGUUUUGCAUGAAAGUCAACAUCUAAUUGGAAUUUACAAUGCCCGAUAUUUCUACACAUCUGCCACAAAUUUUAUGGAAAACAAUAUUUAUAGAAACUGAACAUACCUUGGUUAAACGUAUAUGAAAUGGGUAACCAUCCUCGAAGAAUAUCAACCAGCUGUCGGCAAUGUGCAGGUGGACUGAGGAAUUUUCCAGUGUAUCCUUUAUGGACUGUACUCCGUUCUAGCACUAUCCUCAAGUUUUACCCGAGAGG